GACGAACGCUGGCGGCGUGCUUAACACAUGCAAGUCGAACGGAAAGGCCCUGCUUGCAGGGUACUCGAGUGGCGAACGGGUGAGUAACACGUGGGUGAUCUGCCCUGCACUUCGGGAUAAGCCUGGUAAACUGGGUCUAAUACCGGCUAGGAGCCAUUUUUAGUGUGAUGGUUGGAAAGUUUUUUCGGUGUAGGAUGAGCUCGCGGCCUAUCAGCUUGUUGGUGGGGUAAUGGCCUACCAAGGCGGCGACGGGUAGCCGGCCUGAGAGGGUGGACGGCCACAUUGGGACUGAGAUACGGCACAGACUCCUACGGGAGGCAGCAGGGGGGAAUAAUGCACAAUGGGCGCAAGCCGGAUGCAGCGACGCCGCGUGGGGGAUGACGGCCUUCGGGUUGUAAACUCCUUUCGCUAGGGACGAAGCUUUUUGUGACGGUACCUAGAUAAGAAGCACCGGCUAACUACGUG
rnacentral:rRNA from 1 species